AACAAGCUUGGCACUAAUUAGCUCUUUAAAUCACUGCCAGGUGGGCAUACAAAAUGAACAAACGUUUAUCUUCAAUGUAGUCAUUUCCAAAUUAUGGUGAGAUGUUUUCUGAGAAUAGAAGACAUCUUGAGUAUGUUGUACUUUGACUCUACCUGCUCUGUAACUAAGCAGAGAACUUGUAGUUCUGGUAUUGCUCCUGUAUUUUGCAGUGUGUUUCUUUUCAGUUUCAACCAGAAUAAAUGAUCUCAUGUAAUAACAAACCUGACAGAUCUUCAUAAUUGAUCGCUAUUCUUCACAGAUGAAGGGCAUAGGAAGCAAAUAGAAUAAAGCAGUACCCCCUCUAGGAGGAAGAUUAAAGAACAAUAUGGAAAAACAAAGGAAACAACAAGAGCGUUUAUUUUUAAAGAAGCCUUUCUCAAGAGCCUCUGCUCUCAAAUACUUACCAUCAGG
ensembl:lncRNA